rnacentral:rRNA from 1 species
GAUGAACGCUGGCGGCGUGCUUAACACAUGCAAGUCGAGCGGAGAUAAAUUGAAAGCUUGCUUUUAAUUUAUCUUAGCGGCGGACGGGUGAGUAACGUGUGGGCAACCUGCCUCAUACAGAGGGAUAAUCAUGUGAAAACGUGACUAAUACCGCAUGUCGUUUCGGGAGGGCAUCCUCCUGAAAGAAAAGGAGCAAUCCGGUAUGAGAUGGGCCCGCAUCUGAUUAGCUAGUUGGUGAGAUAACAGCCCACCAAGGCGACGAUCAGUAGCCGACCUGAGAGGGUGAUCGGCCACAUUGGGACUGAGACACGGCCCAAACUCCUACGGGAGGCAGCAGUGGGGAAUAUUGCACAAUGGGGGAAACCCUGAUGCAGCAACGCCGCGUGAAGGAAGACGGUUUUCGGAUUGUAAACUUCUAUCAAUAGGGACGAAGAAAGUGACUGUACCUAAAUAAGAAGCCCCGGCUAACUACGUGCCAGCAGCCGCGGUAAUACGUAGGGGGCAAGCGUUAUCCGGAAUUACUGGGUGUAAAGGGUGAGUAGGCGGCAUGGCAAGUAAGAUGUGAAAGCCCGAGGCUUAACCUCGGGAUUGCAUUUUAAACUGCUAAGCUAGAGUACAGGAGAGGAAAGCGGAAUUCCUAGUGUAGCGGUGAAAUGCGUAGAUAUUAGGAAGAACACCAGUGGCGAAGGCGGCUUUCUGGACUGGAAACUGACGCUGAGGCACGAAAGCGUGGGGAGCGAACAGG